AUGAACGCUGGCGGCGUGCCUAAUACCUGCAAGUCGAGCGAACAGACGAGGAGCUUGCUCCUCUGACGUUAGCGGCGGACGGGUGAGUAACACGUGGAUAACCUACCUAUAAGACUGGGAUAACUUCGGGAAACCGGAGCUAAUACCGGAUAAUAUAUUGAACCGCAUGGUUCAAUAGUGAAAGACGGUUUUGCUGUCACUUAUAGAUGGAUCCGCGCCGCAUUAGCUAGUCGGUAAGGUAACGGCUUACCAAGGCGACGAUGCGUAGCCGACCUGAGAGGGUGAUCGGCCACACUGGAACUGAGACACGGUCCAGACUCCUACGGGAGGCAGCAGUAGGGAAUCUUCCGCAAUGGGCGAAAGCCUGACGGAGCAACGCCGCGUGAGUGAUGAAGGUCUUCGGAUCGUAAAACUCUGUUAUUAGGGAAGAACAAAUGUGUAAGUAACUAUGCACGUCUUGACGGUACCUAAUCAGAAAGCCACGGCUAACUACGUG
rnacentral:rRNA from 1 species